rnacentral:sRNA from 1 species
UUGACAGCUCUGGAGACUCAAGUCCUGUCUCUCAUAAGAACACAAACAGAAAGGACAACAACAAUGCAAGCUUCCUCCUCAAGCUGUCCCUUCACAAUGUGCCUCCACCCUGGCCUGGAGGAACCACUUCAAUGACUGUGGGGAGUUCAGUCUCUGCGGACUCUCAGUUAAGACUACA